UUCUCUUUUACCUCCUGUUACUCAUGACUGCCAGAAACGACUGUCAAGGAACCCACUCAGGAGCGGCCUGCCGGCAACUCAAGUUUCUGUGAGGACUCACUUCAACCUGAAGGGAGCUCAUGCAGAAGAAGGAAGGAGUGCAGGGACUGAAGACACACAUCUCAGACGGGUCGGAAGGAAUGGGACUCAGAGAAGAGGCACAGGAGGUGAGCCUGGGCAGGAGGAGAGACACCUCCAUCGCUGCCAAGUACGUGAAGAGGAAAGAGUAAAGGUACAUAGGAAGAAGACCUUUUGGAAGUCCAAGAUUUAUUUUUUCAAGUAAAUUGAAAGGCUGGCCUUCUACACAGAGCACUCCCAGUCUAAAUUAUAGAGAUUGCUUCUGACCGCCACACGCUAAGACUGGC